UAAUGCUGGCCAGUAUAGUUUGGGAUCACGCAGAUCUCUCGUCCGUGUAUCUACAAAGAGGUUUCGUUUGAGCCUGGACAGACCUUCUACAGGGGUUGUAACAAGUGCUACUGCCACGAAAAUGGCUACUUCUGUCUCUCACUGAUGAAACGUGGUGUGAAGCCUACAGCUGGAUCUGGUGAAGGCAGACACACACACCUAUGCCCCCCUACAGUCAAAAUACACAAUUGCAAGACUCUGGCUGUGGACAACCUCUUGAAUAAAGUAGUUACCAUGCAGAGAACAGACCACAUCCAACCUUCAAUUUGUCAACUUGUUCAAUCAAAGAAGGAACCAAUUCCCAAAUUGAACGACCCAACUCCAAAAGUUUCAUCCUUCGUUUCAAUAAAUGUGUUCAGUCUUCUGUAUGUCAUAGACCGCUAUGUUUUCAAUGUGAGGAAGCGAGAGCGCCAUCGGUCAACUUCACAAACCUAGGCUGGGCUUACACUCUACUAUGCACGCUCCACACAGGCUCCGCAAACGCUUCACCCGCACUGAGAUUUGAGCUGUGCAUGUCAGUGAUGAAUUGCUCAGCAGAAAGCUUGACUGUGGAGUUUACUCAGCCUUACAGGGUGACUCCCUAGCCUCAUCCGUUGACUGUUUGUCAGGCUAAGGAGAUAUUUCACUGUGUGUACAGUAUAUGUAUAUAAUCAAUCAUUUCAAAUAAAACAUGGCAGUG
rnacentral:lncRNA from 1 species